rnacentral:misc_RNA from 1 species
UGUAGAAAGUGUCUUCUUUGGUCUUCAGCAUGUCCUUUAAGCUAAGCAUGCGACUAAAGAAAUUUGGGAGUCUCCGAUGAGUUGAAUGUCGUCUUCAGCAAUCCAAAGUCUCGGCUGAGCAUGGAACGGCGUUACACUGCAAGACUUGUUUCCUCUAGCCGAGUACUAAGGCGGGUUAGGGACCGACUACCUAGUUCUGGAUUUUUGUUGCGGGUUCUAGUUCUAGGCCUGUAACUUUCCAUUGCUUUUGUGGGCUCAGGGUUUUUCUACAUCUGGAUUUAUUGAUGUGGACUUUGGGUCUCUCUUUGUUUGU